UCAGUAAUAGAAAUCGCAUCCAAGCUGUAUUGGUUGAUUAUGAUGCCUGCUGGAGAUGUUGAACGUGAUAGUUUUAAAAAUUCGGAAUCUAAGGUUAGGUUUAGAAAAGAUUUGGAGACGCUUUUGACGUAUAAGAGUGUGGUGGGAGGUAAUCUAGAGAGAAUUUCUAACAAGAUUGGAGAUGGAAGAUCCACCAGUGAUGUUGCUUCAUCAAUACUCAUUUCUUACAACUCUUUGGAUAAUGAAACAUGUACCAGAAAUGUUGUGUCCAAAAUGUUUUUAACAAGUUAGCUAGCUGAAUUGUUCAACACUUUGGAAGAAUAUUCAACAUUACGUAUGCCAUAUUCAUUGAAAAUCAAAAGUCCAAGAAACCUUUCAUUUUCAAGAUCAAAUGUCAAAAGUCUAAAAUUUGAGUUAUUAGCUAUGCUUGCAAACAUGACAACUAGAGUAAGGUGCAACAAUAUUAGAGAUUUUGGGUUCUAAUUUCUAGUAUUUCCAAAAAGAUUUACUUUUAAAAAUAUUUGUUCGUGAAAGUUUGUAUAUACAUUUUUUAGAUCUGGAUUUACUCGACUAUACUUGGUCUAGCAGGCUGUACUAAUUUAUUUUCAUUAAGAUUAAGAUGUUUGAAUGUGAAUGCAGAUGUUAUGAUAUGAGAAGUCCAAUAUAGAAGAAUAAAUAAACGUAGUUGUAGAGGGUCGAAAUUGAGUAAAGGAAGGGAGGCUAAUUUCGUUUCUUUUAAAUUGAGCAGUCGAGAUUGAAAUCAGUUUAAUGAAUAGCAAGGGCGAGGAUUCAACCACGACAUCAGGUCAGUUAUCACUGUUAUAACCACCCUGGGAGUGUGGGCGUAAAUGAAGAAGUAGUAUUUUGACAUGCUCCUUGUAAGGGAAACAUUUGGAUGGAAGGAUGGAUGUCGUUAAAUCAUCCACGCUGACAUGCUCCUUGUAAGGCGAGCACAACCCUGUUACACUGGAGGCCAGUACAAAAAUAAGUGAAUUUCCACCAGAUGUGGUAAUUGAAGUGAUAUGGAACAAACAAUAGUGGAAGUUGUGUGCUUAUGUGCUUUGUCUGGACACAAUAGAGGGGUCAAUUCAAUAUUGGUGAAGGGUACCAUAAAGAAUAGGAACCUUACUGUGCUUAUUGACUUUGGGAGCAACCAUAGUUUCAUGGAUGCUCAUACUGUCAAAGGGACUGGUUACCAAGUUAGUUACUGCCCAUUGUGAGAGUAACAAUAGCAGAUGGCAACUAUGUGAUGUGCAACUCUUCUUGUUUCAGAUUCCAAUGGAAAAUGCAGGCUAGGACAUUUCAAGAAGAUCUAUUUGUAAUUCCACUAGGUGGCUAUGAUCUCGUUUGGAUGAAAAAGCACAACCCUACUAAGUUUGACCAUGAGAUAAAUUGUGUAACUGGUGUUGAAGGGCAUUUCUGAAGAGGGCAAGCUCAGCAUGAUCCAUGAUCAAUAGUGGUGCUAUGCAUAAGUUUCUUAAGAAGGGGAAUGCUCUAUUUGCCCAUCUAUUCAUGAUGAACAGUGCAGCAGAUCAGGAUCAAGAGUCGGAGGUUAUAGUACUACAUGUAUUAGAAUAAUUUAUUGAUGUGUUCUCUGAGCCUAAGUCCUUGCUUCCUAUCAGAUCUUUAGAUCCAGUCCAUGAGCUUUCAAGAUCAAUUGUCAAAAGUCUAGAAUUUGACUUAUCAGCUAUGCUUGCCAACAUGACAACUAGAAUAUGGCAAGGCCCGCGAGGGGCUGGGGUGGCCCGGGUCAGAGCAUAAUCGAACAUGACGCUUGCACGUAGGAUGCCGUGUAGAAGACAAAUUGUCAUGUAGGACGACUGUGUCUAUUUGUUCAACUCUAUACAAGUUUAAGUGCCUACUUGUGUAUACCCAAAGUUAAAGAGCACAAAUUCCAGAUAAAGCCAAGUUAAAUGACACGUUUGUGUAUUAUACCUUUUUUAUUUCAUGUAAGUAAUUCGAAUACAGAGUCUUUAAUCCAAAGCAGGCACUCGAGUCACCAAAAUGAAGAAAUAACAAAACAGUAUACUCUAGCACAAUACAUGCAUUUUGACAAUCUAAAAGACAUUCACAACCUCUCCUUCAAAAUUCUUGAGAGAAAAGGAGCUUGAUACAUGGCUAGAAGCUAAGAUAUUCCCUGCACAGACAUCAAGCUUUUUCAAAGUUUUCUUCACAGGAUGGUGCAAGAACAAGAAGUCGUCACGCCACAAGAACAACACCUCUCCAUCAUCCAAAACUUUCAACAUAUAAAUCAUUUCAUUGCCCAACCAAUCGUUGCAUUCAGGAGAAAUGUUUAUGACAAUCUCUUUAACCCAUGAGCUUGUAAUUCCAUAUUCUUUCAUCACCCAUACCUCAAAAUGAGUAUCUACAUAAUUGUCACACACACAUAGACAAUGUCCAAAGACUCCCAAACUUCGCGAAUACCAAUACCUUUUCUUAUUGCGCCCUGGAGCCGUGGGGAAUGAUUCAAACAACUCAUUCUCCAAAUCAAACGAACAUAUUGACUCAUUUCCUUUAGCAUCAUAAACCAACCAAUGAAUCUUCGCGUAGAGGUUCACCCCAUAUGGCAUGAAAGAAAACAUAACAUGUCCUGCAUUUCUCCAAUACCCUCUGCCAAUUGUGUAAACUUGACAUUUAGACUUGUAAUAACUAGUAUUAUCAUCAUAAAUUUCUUCUUGGUAAAUUCUAACCACUUUGUACUCGAACCUAACAGGAUCGAAACCAAAGCUAUGCAUGACAUCAUUGGGCCACUCUCUUAUCCCUCCAGCCUCUGGAAGGAUGAUAUACUCCCUGGUUCUUGGGUUGAGGAUGUAAAUAGUUUCAACAUAAUCAGGGAAGUAAUUAAAACAAACGAAACCAUGAACCGAUCCAACCAUCCAAAAUGGAUCAAUAGGAAAGUAAUGUUGUAGAUCAAGGUCAAGUUUUGGAUCAUGACAAUAUGAAUGAGUAUCCUCAUCUUCAAAUUUCAAGAACUUAAUGGUGUCGGUACUAGAAGGCUCAUCAGAGCUGAAUUGGUUGAUGAUGAUGCUGGCUGGAGAUGUUAAACAUGAUAGUUUUAAAAAUUCGGAAUCUAAGGUUAGGUUUAGAAAAGAUUUGGAGACGCUUUUGAAGUAUAAGAGUGUGGUGGGAGGUAAUCUAGAGAUAAUUUCAAACAAGAUUGGAGAUGGAAGAUCCACCAGUGAUGUUGCUUCAUCAAUACUCAUUUCUUACAACUCUUUGGAUA
rnacentral:lncRNA from 1 species